GAGGGCCUGUAGAGUCCAAGAGAUG
rnacentral:piRNA from 1 species